AAAUCUAAAAUGAUAUAGGAACCUAAUUAGAUAUAUGAUCUUCAGCAAAGAAAGAAAAAGCCCAACUUUUGUUUGCUUCCCUUCUUUCUAAUAAAGAGGAUUUAGGUAUUUGUGAAUGAAAUGUUGACGCUCGACGUGAUUCGAUCUCCCCUGGAAAGCUGCGAUUCAAGAGAGAUGCCGCUCAAAUCGGAACCGGAAUCGGAUUAGAAUUCGAAUUAGGAUCGAUGUGAAGAAAUGAAAUCGAAUUCGGAUUCGGAGUCGGAAUCAGAUUGGGAUUGGACUCGGAUACCCGUGGAAGAUCUUAAGGAGAGUGACUUCCGUAGACGGUAUGAGGAUGACCCUAAAGCUUUUGCUUUUGUGUGUCCCCGGUUUCAGUAUAAGAACAAAGCACAGAUCAAUCUUGAAAAGGAUAUUGAAGAGUAUAAGAGGCUCUCUCGCAACCUUAGUCCCUACGAUGCUAUACCACUUCCACUCAAUUCAGGUUUAUGUGGUAAUACAAAAGCUAGACCCACGAGCUUAACAUAUCAUCGCCCACUUCUUACUCAUCUCUCUAAACUUGCUUUAGACAUGUACAAUGCUGACAAUCAGGGUGCCAAUUUUGAGUUUGAUGACCUUGUCAAAGCAACAAGACGUCCUAUUUCUGGUGGUAUAUAUUACAUUACCUUUCAAGCAAAAGAUGCUACAACCACUUCAUCAAACUUCCCUGCUAAAACUUUCCAGGCACAAGUCGGUAACAUGAAGCCUGGACCCCCUGUGGUCGAGUCGUGUUCCAUUAAGGCUGACUAACACAUUUAUCUACAUCUGAGAUUAGAAAUAUAAUUUUUGUCUGGUUUGUUAAAAUGGUUGAAACAUACAGAGGGGGUUUGGAGCUUCUUUAUGACUCCAUAAAGAUUCACAAUGUCAAUGUUGAACAGCAAAAUGGAGAAGAUAAGUUAACCAUGAAAGGGUUGCUUGCUUGGGUGAAAACCAAUUUGAUUAAGGAGAAGCCCAAAAUGUUCAUGAAAGGAGAUACUGCGUGAGCUUAAUGAUAUUAAUAGAUCCGAAUCAUGCAGCAUUGGUUGAAGGUUGUUUCUCUAGAGUGAGCUUAUUUUUAAAGUGAGUAAUUAAGGGUGUAGCUACUGUCAGUUUUAUCUGAAGUGCACCAUUAACUGAUAAAAUAUUUUUAGUAGAAUAAACACAAUUGUUGGAGUCAUGGUGAAUUAAAAUUUGGCAAUCAAAUUUGCUGAAUCAACUUACAUAGCCUAGUAUAUGCAUUAAACAAUGCACUUUCACCGCUGUUAUAUUAUGCUAUUAUACUUCAUGGCUUUUGGCAAAAAAUGUAGAACAUGUGUGAUAUUAACAAAUUAAAAUUUUCUUACUGCAUA